GGAAGAAACAGUGGGAAAACAUUGUGAUCUUCAUUUGUGCUUGGUAAGAGCAUGUCAUUUUUCCAAAAUGAUGUCUGGUCAUUCUUAGAAAUGCCCUAUGCUAUGUCCAUUUAGUCAGCACACAGGAGCUCACGGACAGGACACAGCACUCCUAGCAGCAUCCUAUGUGUAGAAGUCCCAAGAGAUUCACAGAAAUCAUAAAACUUCUAGUUCAAAAUUAUUGAGAUAUUUUAAAUAGAAUUUCAAAUUUUUGAAUUUGCCUUGGAUUUCUUUUUUUCUUUUUUUAAAGUAAAUACUUUUUUUUCAUGUGCUAUUUUCUAUGUUACACAUAUUUGGGAUUUACCCAUGUUAACUGAAACUUUAUGUAGAGUUUCCUAGGAGUAGUCCUUUAGGUUCCCCUCACCCCUUCCUGAGAUUCACAAAAGUUUUCGAACACAUAGAGUAGGAAGGAAUCUUUCAGGAAGUUUGAAACUUGCAUAGCCAGAGCCAUCCCUGUGUUUGUACAACCGAUAAUGAGGAGGUAAGGAGGUAGCUGCAGAACUCUUGGCUACAAGGCCAGUCUCUGUUCUCCUAGCAGCCAUCAGCAAGGAAACCAUUUGCACUGGGACAAAGGAAGAACUCAAGAGUCACUUACAUAAUAAGAGACUGCAGUCCAGGCAGCAUCCAACUAAGAAUAUGCCAUUUUCCUUUUUUCAAAAUCUGAAAGAAAAAAAAAUUGUUUUUUUUAGUUUAGUCUAAUCCACUCCUGCACUGCUGUAGAAAGUAUUUUAGAGGCUCAGGAUCCUAUGUUAGGAUACUUUGGCAUUGAAUAGAAUCAACUAAGAAGGAAUACAAGUUGCAAAACAACAAAACAACAAAAAAUCUUGACAAACCUUAAGGAGACAGAAAUUUUAAAUAAUUAAAGAGAGAUGAGGUCUGAUGGGAGGAAGUGACUGGUGCUGUGUUCAUUGCUGAAUCCCUGGCACACUCGGACCCUGCAAGGGCAAAGUGUAAACAGAAGUCAGAAGCACAGAACCUGAACCAACAGAAGAGCAACAUCUGGACUGGAAUGCUAUGUCCUCCUGAGGGAGAAUUCACAGUUAACAUCAGAACCAUACUCCAUGUCACCAGCACAUUGUUAUAUAUCUACCUUUUUUAUUGAUUAAUUAAUUUAUUUUAAUUAGAUAUAUAUGACAGCAGAAUGCAUUUUGAUUCAUUGUACACAAUUGCAGCACAACUUUUCAUUUCUCUGGUUGUACAUGAAGUAGCGUCGUACCAUAUGUGCAGUCAUACACAUAGAUAGGGUAAUGAUGUCCAUGUCAUUCCACCAUCUUUCAUGCCCCCAUGGCCCCUGCCCACUCCUCCCUCCCCUUUGCCCCAUCAAAGUUCCUCCAUUUUUCCCAUGCCCCCCCCAUUAUGGAUUAGCAUCCCUUAUCAGAGAGAACAUUUGGCCUUUGUUUUUUUUUGGAUUUGGACAAUAUCAUGCUUCACUUCACAACUCCAUCCAUUUACCUGCAAAUGCCAUAAUUUUAUUCUCUUUUAAUGCUGGGUAAUAUUCCAUGUGUAUAUAUACCAGUUUCUUUAUCCAUUCAUUUAUUGAAGGGCAUCUAGGUUGCUUCCACAGUUUAGCUAUUGUGAAUUGAGCUGCUAUAAAUAUUGAUGUGGCUGCGUUAUUACAGUAUGCUGAUUUUAAGACCUUUGGGUAUAGACCAAGGAGUGGGAUAGUUGGAUCAAAUGGUGGUUCCAUUCCAAGUUUUCUAAGGAAUCUCCAUACUGCUUUCCAGAUUGGUUGUACCAAUUUGAAGUCCCACCAGCAACAUAUGAGUGUGCCUUUUCCCCACAUCCUCGCUGACAUUUAUUGUUGUCUGUAUUCUUGAUAACUGUUGGUACAUAAACCAUGUAUGAUUUGUCCCAUUUGGCAUUCAUCCUUUCUUUUGUUUUAGAUUUUUUUUCCCCUCCACUCAUACUUUCUUUUCUUGGUACUGGCCAUGGAACCCAGAGCCUCACACAUGCUAGGCAAAUGCUCUACCACUUAGCUACAUCCACAGUUGUUUAUUUUCAAUUUUUUAAAUUUUUGAGACAGGCUCUUGCUAAAUCACGCAACCUGGCCUCAAGUUUUCAAUUCUCCUGCCCCAGCCUCCUGAGUAGCUGGGAUUAUAGGUACACAUUACCACACCCAGUUGGCAUUUCUAUUUUCUAAAUUAACCCUUUUGCACUCCUUAUGUAGAAUCUUAUCUCUUAAGGUAUUGACAAGGAAGGAUAUCGGAAGUAGAAGGACCCAAAUGACCUUACAGUUGCCACCUGGUUCCCAGAUUAGGUAGCUCAGUCCAUAGCUCCUCCUACAUUCAACACAUUCAUGAUGAUUGAUUAGGCCCUUACAUGGGUGGGGCAAGUUAACUUUUUCAAGUCCAUGUUUGAUCCGGCACUACAUUUCCUUUGUGUAUUAAAUAACUAAGCAUUCCAUAUUUUUUUUCUCUCUUCUAGAUUAGUGAAGGAGCAGAAUGCAUUUUUAUUCCGAAAAACUUAUUUCUAGCAGAAGCCAGCACUGAAUUCAGGAGAGCAGUUUUGGAGCUGGUGUGUCCUUACCCCACAGAGGAGGCCAUUCAGGAACACCUGACCACACAGCAAGUGUGGAAUGAGUACAAGGACAGACUCCUGGCACAGCACCCGAACACAAGAAGCAGGGCCACUGGCAGAGCUCAUUUUUGUUUUUUAAAAAUAUUAAAAGACAUUAAAAAACACAAGUGAAAGUUCAUUUCAGUAUGCUCGAAGACCUGCCUUUACGGAGAUGAGGGCACAGGAUAUAUAUAUGCAGUGCUGCUCAAAAAGAUGAUGUCACAGUCUAAUUUGCUCAGAACUGUAUCUUGGUAACUGUUACACUGGAAAACACAAUUGAAACCUGAGAAGUUGUACUGUUAUUUUUCAUUAAAUGAUGUGUUCAAGAUUUAGUUAUCCAAGAGGUUUUAGUUCACAUUGGAUAGUGUGCUCAAUACAUUUGUUAGUAAUAAAAGCAGGCUAGAAAACUGACUAAUAUGAUUGCAAUUAAAAAUAUGUGUGUGUGUGUGCACAUGUGUGUGUUUACCACAUACAAAAUGGCACAAGAAUUUAGC
rnacentral:lncRNA from 1 species